AUUGCAGUAGUUUCAGUCUUUUGCCCAGGGCAUCAACUAAGAGAUUGUGUUGGGUUAGCUUUGUCUAUACAUACAAAUACAUAUACGGAUCGCCGUCCAUCUCUGUGUAUUUGUUCCUUCUCGUCGUUCCGUAACAGGGAGCUGACACGGUGGAAAAUGGUUAGGACUGUGAAUAGUCACGAUGAAGCACGAUUGUGAGUCUUUUCCCCAAGACGCGAAAGUAGAAGGGAAGAAGGCAAAUGCUGUUCGUUCCAAGCACUCUGAGGCUGAGCAACGACGAAGGAUCAAGAUUAACGAGAGGCAAG